CCAAUAGCGUAUAUUAAAGUUGUUGCAGUUAAAAAGCUCGUAGUUGAACUUCGGGGUUUACCCAUUGGUCAGGCUUAAUUGUCUGUACUGGUGAGAUGAAUCUCUACCUUCUGAGGAACUUUCAUGCCAUUUAUUUGGUGUGAUAGGAAAUCAGGACUGUUACUUUGAAAAAAUUAGAGUGUUUAAAGCAGGCUAACGUCUGAAUACAUUAGCAUGGAAUAAUGAAAUAGGACGGACUGAUUCUAUUUCGUUGGUUUCUAGGAUCACCGUAAUGAUUAAUAGGGAUAGUUGGGGGCAUUAGUAUUCAAUUGUCAGAGGUGAAAUUCUUGGAUUUAUUGAAGACUAACUACUGCGAAAGCAUUUGCCAAGGAUGUUUUCAUUAAUCAAGAACGAAAGUUAGGGGAUCGAAGACGAUCAGAUACCGUCGUAGUCUUAACCAUAAACUAUGCCGACUAGGGAUCGGACGAAGUUAAUUUUAUAAUGACGCGUUCGGCACCUUAC
rnacentral:rRNA from 1 species